rfam:Ramazzottius varieornatus DNA, contig: Scaffold008, strain: YOKOZTNA-1.
GCCCGGUUAGCUCAGUCGGUAGAGCGUCAGGCUUUUAACCUGAAUGUCGGGGGUUCGAGCCCCCCAUCGGGCG